UCAGAAUGAUGAGAUUCCACUUCAUUGGUCCGUGUUUCUGAAAAGCAUGAUAAUUGUGGAGAUUCUGAUUGA
ensembl:snoRNA SNORD18 Small nucleolar RNA SNORD18